AUGAAAGAAACUGAAAUUCCAGAUCUUCCACAGCCGCAUGACUCCCUGAAGGUGCAGUCAAUGUCCCAGCCACCAACACAGCUAAGCCUUCACCCAGGGACUCAGCAUCAGCCUCAAAUGUUUGUCCCUGCUGGUUGUGAGCUGUCAGUGCAGCCGCAGGGUCUAGUCCACGCUCCAGCAUUUGCUCAGCAUCAGAUACGGCCUCAGAUAUCCUCUUCUCCCCAAGCACCACUUCCGGUCCACAUCCAAACGCCAGUUCCAUCACAUAUUCAGCUUCGUAGUCAUCCGCAGACGUGGGCUCCUGUCAGGCCGCCUUCCCCAAAACCCCCUUCUCAAAACUUCUCUCAGCCAGCUGGUUCUCAUGGGAAUCUUCAGACCAGCAUCCAGCAACAGAUCCAACCUCAGCUGAGGAGUCAGUCUCAAGUUCAAGUUUGUCCUCCCUCCGUGGGUUAUCCUCAGGAUCAAACCCACGGAAAGGCCAACACAACCUUUGCUCAUCCAGAGGUCAAACCCAAUCCGAUCCAGCCACUGGUAAACCCCCAGAUCCAAGGCCGUGGUACAGACCAUCGACCUCUUCAUCCAGUGGCUGGCCCUGUGGCGCAGUGGUCCACUCAUGCUAGCACCCCAUCUCCACAACAAGGACUUAAUGCACAGGGACAAAUGCAAGUUUGGACUCAAGUCAAAGCCUCAUCCUCAGUGCGUGUCCAGGGUCCUCAGGCUGCAGGUCAACAUCAGCUUUACCCCCAGGCUCAGAUUCCAUCACAGCAACACCAACCAAUCUCACCACCAAGGCAUCCUGUCCCUCAACCAUACUCUCAGCACUCACAAACUCAAACCUUUGCAGCAGUUCAGGCUUCACAGCAAUGGCCAAAGCAAGACCCUCAGAUCAACCCCUAUGACUAUUCCCAUAUGGGGGCUUUGUAUGGGCAACCUCCAAUACAUCCCCAAAUGCUUGCACAGACAUGGACCCAAACACAGCCCCAAAACAUCCCCCAGGGUCCUAUCUCACAAAUCCCCCAAAUGGGACCUUACAAUGUCCAUCAGAAAGAACAAGGUCUUGUUCCCCCACAGACCGGGGUUCAGAGGAUGCCUCAAGUUCAUCAGCAGCAUCCCCAGAACUUUUUACCAGUUCAGCAUCAGCUUCAAACUCAGCUUUACCAAACUCAGUCCCAGAUGCAAUCUCAAAUACAAAUCCAGCCAAUGCCAUCAGAUCCGCUUCAUAGUCCCUUCACUUCAGCAGCCCAACUUCAAGCAAGGAUCGAGACAAGGCCUGAAAGUCACCAGGGUCCUUCUCCUGUUCUGCUCCAGCAGCCCACUUCACAUUCCCAACUGCCCCAACCUUUCCUGCAGUUGUCAAAUCAGCCAAAACCUCAAAUAAAAAGUGAUGCGUCACCUCAGCCAGAAGGUCUGGUCCAGUUUUCACCUUCUACUUCUAAACCACAGGUUCAGCCGCUAACCCAAAAUCAGGAUGGAUCUCUGCAGAAGUCUCAAGUCCAGAUGCCAGGACAACACAUGGCUUUACCUCCAAACAAAUCAGAGAUGGAAUGGCCUCAACAAGCCAGAGUAGAGGCUCAGGCCGAGGUUCAGCCAUCGACUCAACCAACACUCGAGUCAGUUGGACAGGUGCCCAAGCAAAGUGCCAUGACAACAACAGAGGCUGAGGCCACUCCUCAGCCCCCAGUGCAAUCUGGGGCCACAUCCAAACCUGAAGUUCAGGCACUCCCCCGAUUCACAGCAGACUCACAAACUCAAGCUGAGAUUCAAACACUGAAACAGCCCAAAUCCCAGGACCACCAACCACAGCAGAACCUGCAGCAGACUCAAACAACGGCACAGCCAAAGGUCCAAUUCCCUCCAGAGACCAAACCAGAUCAGAAUCUUUCUCAAUCAAAAUCUCAAAGUGAACAUCCUGUUCAGCCAAAAUCUCAACAACCCCAACCUAGUCCCCCUCUUAAGGUCCACAUGCAGCCGAAGGUCCAGGCUGAAUCCCCAGACUUCCAGAAAGCUCCAGCCCUGGCUCAGGCCCCUCCCCAGGCAUACACAGAGGCCUACAGCAGAGCCCAGGCACUGGCCAGGAACGGCUUCGAGGAGGCCAAACGCUGCCUGCAGGCGCACAUCAUGGACAUCAUCAGUGUCUUCCAAGAAAAAAGCUUGUCUGCUGGGCAAACAUCCGUUACACAGGAGACAUUGAAGACUCUUGAUCCGGAGCUGCUGGAGGAGUUCCUGAGAGCGGCUGAAGGCAUGGAGGCGUUCUGCACACCCUCUCAGCUCCGAGACAUGGAGCUCUUCACCCAGUCUGUUCGCACGCAGUGGGAGGUAAAGACGCUCAGGCAAUAAAGUGUUUAAGUGCUGCUAAAGUUGUUGUUUGUGCUACAAAGCAGCAUUCUUUAAUUGA
ensembl:lncRNA